GUUUAGAGAAUGGAAAAGUUGUCAUCUUAAAUCAAGGUAAAAUAUAAUAAUCACAUUGAGGACUUUUUGCAGAAAAAUACAAAUUAUUUGCUAGAUGUUGGGGAUUGGCUGCUUAUCUUUUCACUUAAUUGUGUGUUGGCACCUGUGAUAUGUAUAGUAUUACUGAAGUAUUUGUCUGGAAUGUAGUUCUGAUUUAUAAGCAUUUUCAUUUACAGAACUUUGGAUGCCAUUCCACUUGAAGUCAAGAGAAGAAUACCUAAAGAGUCCUCAGUCCAGGGCCAGCCACUUACCUAUUAAGCAUGCAACUCACUUGCCUGAAGGGGGCAAUGGCAAGGCAGUCUCACGGACUAAGCAAGCUAUGAUGUUAGUUACAAGGAAAGUAUGACAAUAUCCUAUGGGAUGUGCACAAGGAGAGUAUCUUCUGGGAUAUGCCCAAGCCUGCGGAACAACAGACCUUUAUUUCUAGUGCAUAUGUAUUUUUUAUGAAUAGGAAUAUUGUGAUUAAUUCAGAGGAAAGAGAGAAGUUAUUACAGACUAGAAAAGAAUUUAGAAGCAAAAUGUGUAAGUGGUUUGUCCAUUUUCUCACUUUGUGUCAAUUUCUUGACAAAUCUUGUUGAUCCGUUAGUAGAUGUGCUGAGUAAAUGUUAAAUAAGAAGGUUAUUAUUUUAUUGGUAAUAUUGGUAGUAUGCUCUUUUAGCGUAGAGAGAUCUCAGUGUCUUCUCUAUCUUUAAACUCAUCACUACCAAAGUGAAAGUACUUUUCCUUGGGCUCACCUUGGCUCACCUACAGAAUGAUUUGGGUGUGGUCUAGAGAGAAAGGGGCCAAGGAGAAAGCUUAGAGUAUUUAAGUCUGAUACAUAGGCUUUCAUACACAGGCAAAUUGACAUUGCAUCUUGACAUGGACCGGUGUAACCUACAAACAGUAAGGGACCAUGUAAUAUGUCAUUGAAAACUAGCCACUUUUGAGAGUUAAAGAGGUAUACAUUUAUUAAUUCACCGGGAUAGAGGUAGCCCCAGGCAAACUGGAAUACAUUAUUAUACUAUCUAGGAGAGUACAUUAGCAUUUGAAGCAGUAAUGAAGUAUUUAUUAGUCUGGCCCUGUUUUCUUGCAUAUAAAUUCUUAUGAUGAACUGGGA
rnacentral:lncRNA from 1 species